rnacentral:lncRNA from 1 species
CCUAUGUGGCGGCGGAGCUCCUUGGAGCCGACGAGUGUGAGAGAGGAGCUCCCUGCUCCUCUCCUCUGUUUUGGGGGUGAGACCGCGAGGUGAACGAGCACAUUUUGCAGAGGUCCAGCAUUUCCCUACUUUUCUCAUAGUGGUAUUGCAUAACGAGUGGAAUUCAUUCCUGAAAAACAUCAAACUGCCAUUGAAUGGUGUCCAUGUGUCAUCAUCUAUUCCCCUAAGACAAUGAAAUUGGGUGACAUGCAAUCAAACAAGAUAAGUUGGGUCUAAUUAAUCAAAAGCACGCACCUGAUUUCAACGAAGAAUAUGCCGCUGUCUCUUCCCUUGAGCCUUCAAUUAAUAGUACGAACUCAUGGUCAAUUUUAAUCUGUUAAACAAAUGCACAUGUGUGAAGCACACAACAAGAGAUUGAUCUGCUAUUGGCACUAUCGAAUGUACAUAGAAGCAUUCUUAAAUAUUCUCAUAUGAUUGGCAGUUAUUCAUUUUGCGGAAAUCCAUCAAUCAGAAACAUAUUAUUUCCAAUCACAAGCAUGUUCUUUACUAAUUAGCAUGACAAUGAUCUCAAAAGGCACAAGCUUUCCUUCAUACAUGAGAUCCUUGAUCAUUGUACUAACUGAAAGAGGCUGGCAUUAAAAAUAUAUCAAGACAAUUAUUACAACGUAAGAGUAUAUUUACAGAAACUGAAAGAAGACUGUUACCUGCUCCAUAUCACUUUAACUUCUUCACGAAGAAGAUCACCAGCACUCAGAUGUGCAAACCCAUACUCAAAUGAGAUCCUUGAUCAUUGUACUAACUGAAAGAGGCUGGCAUUAAAAAGAUAUCAAGAAAAUUAUCACAACGUAAGAGUAUAUAUACAGGAACUCUUUAUGUAUUGUGCAUUCUAAAUUACAAGAAAAUUAUCGCACGGGCAUUGUACUAAUAUGUGUUGUGCUGCCCUAUAUGUAUUUGAUGUUCAAGGAAUUCUUUAGGCUUUGGCCUGUAGUCAGCGCACAUAUAUGUUUGGUUCAUGCAAGUAAGACACGUGAAAUUCCAUUAUAGGUGGCAGGGGAAUGGAUUUACUCUAGAAAAUUGCUAGGAAUUAAUCAGCAUGUCAAAAGAGAAUUAGAGGAGUAAAUCACAAAGCUUGUUUCAGCCAUUGGAGGAAGAAGUCUGUUACUUAUCAUCAAAGAAGCAUGUUCAACGCACGGCCCUAUAAUGGAAUUACAUCAAGAGAAGAAAAGGUGCUCUCAAGUUGUUAUGCAUAUCAUAUAGCACAUGCAGGACAACAAAAUGACAGUCAUCAAGGAAAAUAUAUAAUUACCAAAAUCAACCCCAAAUCAGCACUCCCCUCGCCAUCUAUGUAUCAGACUACUUGGAACUGAACUGUAUGUAAAGCAAGAUUUAAAUGUUGACCAUUAGUCCUCAAUGUCCCAUGUGUUCUCCAUCAUGCUCCUGACUUUACUAUCAUAUUCUAGUUCGUAGUCUAAAUUCAGUUACUGGUUGCACUCACCCCUAAGUGAACACUAAAAGUUUUAACAGGAUAAAUCACACAUAUAUAUCAUUACCUUAGUCAAUAGAGUCCUGGAACUGUGUCACAAGAUCCCGAC